AUUUACAAGGCGUGAGUCUGCUGGUUGGCAGAGCGUCCCCUGAGGGAAAUCCACUGGGUGGUGGCUGAGCCACCUUGGUUCUCAGUAGGUAAUGCUCUUCAUCCUCCAUUGUCAAGACCUCUAAUCCUCUGUAACACUUUUACACAUUCAUUUCUUUCUCUCUUUUUUAUGCUCAGAACUUAAUCAGUCUUAACCUGUGAUUCAAAACAUGCAGGCCUUGCUUGUCAAUGCAUGGUUAUUUACUUAAAACUAAACUAUGGGCUUUGGAAAUACCUCCCCUUCCCCACACAACAAUAUGAAAGACAGAUGCUCAGUCGUUUCCUGGUCCCCUCUCUUCACAUAUUUACUGGACAUAUUUUCUUCUAAUAAAUGGUGCUAAUGUAUGUUGCUUAUUUUUUAUCGGAUCAUGCAGAUUUGUUGGUCAGUAUCAUUUUUUGCUUUUCCUUAGGAAAUGAUUUCUACCUUCAGUGUUCCACUUAUCAUCUUCUACCUUCUGACAGAACAUUCUAGAUCUUUCAGCCAUGUAACCUGAAGUCUUC
rnacentral:lncRNA from 1 species